rnacentral:sRNA from 1 species
AGGACUUCCCCAUUUUAGCCUGGUUAAGUCAGGAAAGGAAACAGAAAGGAGCAAAUCUAAACUAUCACUGGUUCUUUCUGAGUUUCAGCCAUUAAUGUAUUUGCGAUGGGCUCCCGUCUCCCCUGUUGCUAUGUUGGCUGUCAUGUCUGUCUUGUGUUGUGUGCCUGGUGAAACGAUCAACAAAUAAAUGGAAUAUAAUCUACCUCUUAGGCUCCGUGCAUUUGCUGCCUCUCUGUCCAUCCGUCCGUUGUGGAUUUCAAUGUAUUGAUUUGACAUUUCUGGUGCUGAUAUUUGUUAGGAGAUGGACUACACUGAAAUGAAACAGGGCUGGAGGUUCCUAGGCAACAAGGGGAAAUAACCUGUCCUGCUUAGAGGAGUCACGUGUUCUCAAAGAAACGAUAAGAGGACCUCUGUCACCAACCCCAGAAGGCCAUCUGCAACUUCAGCAAGCAGAUCCUGAGCUCAUAUUUGCAUUCUUUGUCUGUCCUUUGCUCAUACCAUUCUUUUAGUAUUAAUUUUCAAUUCUCCGGGUGGAUUACUCUUUCCCUGUGUUCACAGAAAAUAUACUUUGAUCCCCAUGUAAAUUAAGAUGCCAUUAUUUCCUUAAAUGAAUAUUAGCAAUGUUUACCGCAAGUAAAAAAAAAUACGGUAUGAUCUCCCACCUGUCUGGUUUGACUCUUUCUCUAAGCAAUGCAGGGACAAUGUUAUGAAGUUAUAUACAAGGUAGAUAUGGGUUCAGCCUUUAAUUAGUAACAGCCACUCACACUGUCCUCUCCUCUCCCUGUGCUGUGAAAAGUGGAGUGUAAGAAUGUUAAAAAGAGGUUAGGAAGGAGAGGCAACCUCUAUAGUUCAAAGAAUCUUAAUGAACGUGUAGGGACAUGCAUGCACGGCUCCUGUUCUUGCUUUCACAGGCAGUAUGAGAAGUUAAAAUCAUCAGCUCUGGAACUUUCCCUCCCUGCGUUCCACUCCUUUUAUGCUUUCUCUGUGGAAGACUUUGGGGUUGCUAUUUAAUUUCACUAAGGGUCAAUUCCUACUAAUAGCGGAGUCUUCCAUAUUGAGUGAGAUGAAGUUUCCUGUCCAACAAUAAAUAGUGUUGUUAAGUGAUGGUUAGUUUUUAGCUGCUACACGCACAACUUUAGAAAGGGCCAUGUCCAGGAUGACUAGGAGAGGGCAGAGAUGAUCUUGGCUGUGCAUUUGUUCAAAGCCCUCUUCUCCAAUAAGAACAUCUGGCAAUGGGCUCCAUGCAUGUGCUAUAUGCUUGUCUAUCUGGACUCGACUUGACAACCAGCACGCCCCAAAGCUUGCCCCUGUUGGUAGCCUUCUUGGUUCCUAAAGUGACCCUUGACACAGGAGUGGGUAUGUGACAGUAAAACUUUUUUGGUCUUUAUAUUUAAUUUUUCUCAGAGCUGAGGAGAAGAUGUGUUCAUUAUGUUAUGAGUUAACCUUCCUGGCUACAACCUCGGCGUUUCAAAGGCUAACACAACUAAUUUUCUUUUCUUUCUAACCUUCUUGUUAAUAGGGUGCUGAGAAAAUUUUGUCAAUGAACGAAUCAGGAGAACUGCAAGACCUUUUAACCAAAAUUGAGAGAGUCCAGCAUCCACACGAGUGUCCCUCCUGUGGAGGCUUCGGCUUCCUUCCAUGCUCUGUGUGCCACGGGAGCAAGAUGUCAGUGUUUCGCAAUUGCUUUACGGACGCUUUCAAAGCCCUGAAGUGUACAGCUUGCAACGAGAAUGGUCUUCAGCGCUGUAAGAACUGCGCCUGCUAACUGGAUCUUCUGCCUAGAGAAAGCCUCAUUUCCUUAAACAAAGGAUAACAUUUGGCUUCUGCCUUUUUUAAAAAAAAGAAUGUCAUGUUUUUAGAUUAAACAAUAAAGUUUGUAUAUUAUAAUUACCUCUGUUUUAAAA